AUUUUUGUGAACUUUCUGUGUAACAAAAAUUCCAUAUCUUCCGAAAGAUGUGAAGAGUUACGAAAUCAAAGUGGAAGACAACUGAGGGAGAACUUUUUAAGUGUUAGACUUUUUUUCGACACACCAUAUGUUGAUGUUUACACGGAUAUACCGGAUGUUACUCUGACAGAUUUUUUGUGUAACUUCGGAGGGUGUGUUGGCCUGUGGAUUGGGUUGUCAAUUAUAAGUGUGUUCGAGGUUCUUCAAUUGAUAGUUGACAUCAUACAGACUCUAUGCAGGAGCACAAUAAUUCAAGAUUGACCUUCCUAUAUUAACGACUUUAGUUGAAUUAUCAGCUAAUAUCUUUAUUUUUUGUUCUUUUUUUUUUGUUGGAGUCUAGUGUACUUUAAGCGUACUUUUUGCUAACUUUUAUGAAAUAGCAUGUUAAGUGUUAAUUCAGAUGUUUUAAAAUAAAAACUUUCAUUAUAUAUAAACUAGAAUAUAAAUUAGAAGAUCUUUCAUUCAAAUAGUCUUUUUUUUUUUUUGCGAACUUAUAUGUAUAUCGAUAGUUUAUCAAAACUGUUUCUUAUUGAGCUCCUAGGAGUUUUAAAAAAAUAUUCAAAUCCAUUUAAGAUAGAUUUACUGCAUGAAUAUAAAAUUGUUUCAUUACUCAAUCCAUUAAUGUUCGCUAUUUUAAUUUGCUUAUAUUUUCUUGACAAAAAAAAAUAUUAUUUGGAGUCGUACGUUACUUUUCAAUUAUAAUAAGGCUAGUCUUCGAGUCCGAAGAUCAUUGAGGAAUGCAGUCCCAGCUGUGACCUAAAUAUUUCGCCACAUCCAGGACAAGCAUAACCAUUGUCCGCAGGUGGUCGAUUUAGAUUUUCUUUUCGCCGUCUGCGUAUGUCCUAGGCAGCAGAUUUUCUUUAGGUCUCAAAUGUGUAUCCCGCGGCAGUCGUGAGUGACCUCCAGCUGUCUCGUUCUGAGGCCGCAUGCAACCAGGUGCUCUCUUCUAUGUCAACAAGCUGGUCUUUGAAGCGUUUCCGUGGGGAGCCUCAAUGAUAUAUUCUAUGGAUUUCUCAGAUUUAUUUUUAAAUUGAAGGCACGUCAUUAACCUGUAUUUCUCAAUGAAACAGCUGGGGAAAAGUGUACAAAAGUAGAAUUAGAAUCAAAACCUAUAUAAGGAUAUAAUUUCAGAAGAAGUACUUAAGAUGUAUGUCAUUUUACCCCAGUUGUAUGUCUGAAUUUUGUGUCAAAUAUACGUCUGACCUACAAGCCCUACACAGGCAGCAAGACAGCCUAGGAUUGCAGAGUUUGUCAAAUAGUAGAUGCGCUUUCGUUAGAGAAAGAAGAGAGAAACGCAGGUUUGUCAAUUUAUUUGUCAUGUAGCAUUCUAAAAUAUUGCUUGUAGUUAUAACUAUGUAUAUAUAUGUGGGUGUGUGUGUAUACUAUACUGGUCUUUAAAGCGUUUCCGUCUGGCACCUAUGUUGAUGGUCAACCACCUUUCAGCUCACCAAAAGGGACAGCUUUUGGCAUACGUUUGUUCCUUAUAUGGGAUGCGUUGCCUU